CACAAUGAUCCAUCCUUAACACAACUUUCUUCUCUUCAAAACUAUCUACGGAUAAUUCACAAUCGCAACGAAAUUAACGAUGAGACUUACAAAAACAUCAGACCGCAAUCUACCAGACCGGCCAGGGCACAUGGCCUUCCUAAAACACACAAAUCCUUCGACAACCUUCCAUCUUUCCGUCCGAUUAUCGACACCACUGGUACUGCUUAUCAACCAGUAGCCAAAUAUCUUUCGUCUUUACUCAAUCCUCUCACACACAACGAAUUUAAAUUAAGAGAUAGCUUUGAUGCAGUAUCACGUAUUCACAACAUUCCCUCACACUUAUUCUCACAAGGUUACAGAUUUGUAUCGUUUGACGUAACUUCUCUCUUUACCAACAUUCCAUUACGCAAAACUAUCAAUAUAAUUUUAGACAGAAUAUACAAAGACAAACGCAUUAUUACCACAAUAAGAAAACCAACACUUAAGAAACUACUCUUAGAUUCCUGUACAAAAACACCUUUUUCAAUUAAUGACCAACUUUAUCGACAAAUUGACGGAAUAUCUAUGGGGUCUCCCUUGGGGCCUACUC